rnacentral:rRNA from 1 species
UACGAGGGGGCAAGCGUUGUUCGGAAUUAUUGGGCGUAAAGGGUGCGUAGGCGGUUUGGUAAGUCUUAUGUGAAAUCUACAGGCUCAACUUGUAGUCUGCAUGAGAAACUGCCGGGCUUGAGUAUGGGAGAGGUGAGUGGAAUUCCUGGUGUAGCGGUGAAAUGCGCAGAUAUCAGGAAGAACACCCGUGGCGAAAGCGGCUCUCUGGAACGGUACUGACGCUGAGACGCGAAAGCGUGGGAGCGAACAGG